GGUUCAGCUUUUAAAGCAAAAACAAAAGAGUGAUGAUGCAGCAAAGCGCUUGCAAGAUGAGAUACAAUCAAUCAAGGCACAGAAGGUACAGUUGCAGCAUAAAAUUAAACAAGAGGCUGAACAAUUUCGUCAGUGGAAGGCAUCGCGGGAGAAAGAGUUACUGCAGUUAAAGAAGGAAGGAAGAAGGAAUGAGUAUGAGAGACAUAAAUUGCUAGCUUUAAAUCAACGACAAAAGAUGGUUCUUCAAAGAAAGACGGAGGAGGCUGCUAUGGCAACCAAGAGACUAAAAGAAUUGCUAGAAGCGCGUAAAUCUUCUGGUCGCGAGAACUCAG
rnacentral:misc_RNA from 1 species